rnacentral:rRNA from 1 species
UACGGAGGGUGCAAGCGUUGUUCGGAAUUACUGGGCGUAAAGCGCGUGUAGGCGGCUUGGCAAGUCGGGUGUGAAAUCCCGGGGCUCAACCCCGGAACUGCAUUCGAAACUGCCUGGCUGGAGUCCCGGAGAGGGUGGUGGAAGUCCCAGUGUAGAGGUGAAAUUCGUAGAUAUUGGGAGGAACACCAGUGGCGAAGGCGGCCACCUGGACAGUGACUGACGCUGAGACGCGAAAGCGUGGGGAGCAAACAGG